CCCAGUACCAUGAUCUUAGUUCAAUUUAAACUUACCAAAAGAACUCCCAAAUCAUAAUGUAAGUUUAAACUUUACUCUAAAGAGGGACAGCUCUUUAGAUAAGGAAAUAACCUGUAAUAGUGAGUAAACUUAAUAUUAUCCCACAGUUGGCCUAAAAGCAGCCACCAGUUAAGAAAGCGUUCAAGCUCAACAUUUAAUUAAACCAAAUUCGCUUCUUCUAAUUCAACUCCUAUUAUUACCACUGGGUUAAUCUAUUUAUAAAUAGAUGAAAAUAUGUUAAUAUAAGUAACAAGAAAAAUUUUCUCCUAGCAUGAGUUUAUAUCAGACCGAAUACUCACUGAUAGUUAACAAUCUAAUAAUAAUAACCCUAAUUAAAUUUUUAUUAACUAUAUUGUUAAUCCAACACAGGUAUGCAUUCAAGGAAAGAUUAAAAGAAGUAAAAGGAACUCGGCAAACACUAACCCCGCCUGUUUACCAAAAACAUCACCUCUAGCAUAACAAGUAUUAGAGGCACUGCCUGCCCAGUGACUUUCGUUUAACGGCCGCGGUAUCCUGACCGUGCAAAGGUAGCAUAAUCACUUGUUCCUUAAUUAGGGACUUGUAUGAAUGGCUUAACGAGGGUUUAACUGUCUCUUACUUCCAAUCAGUGAAAUUGACCUUCCAGUGAAGAGGCUGGAAUAUAAUAAUAAGACGAGAAGACCCUAUGGAGCUUCAAUUGGCUAACUUAAAUUUUAUACUAACCAUCCAUUAGGAAUAACCAAAAAAUAAUUAAGUUAGAAAUUUCGGUUGGGGUGACCUCGGAGCAUAAACAAACCUCCGAAAGAUAAAACCUAGACAAACAAGUCAAAAUCUAAUAUAUCCAAUUGACCCAAAAUUCUUGAUCAACGAAACAAGUUACCCUAGGGAUAACAGCGCAAUCCUAUUUUAGAGUUCAUAUCGACAAUAGGGUUUACGACCUCGAUGUUGGAUCAGGACAUCCCAAUGGUGUAGCCGCUAUUGACGGUUCGUUUGUUCAACGAUUAACAGUCCUACGUGAUCUGAGUUCAGACCGAUAUC
rnacentral:rRNA from 1 species